CUUUUAUGGAGAGUUUGAUCCUGGCUCAGGACGAACGCUGGCGGCGUGCCUAAUACAUGCAAGUCGAGCGGAGUUGAUGAGGUGCUUGCACCUCUGAUGCUUAGCGGCGGACGGGUGAGUAACACGUAGGCAACCUGCCUGCAGGACCGGGAUAACAUUCGGAAACGAAUGCUAAUACCGGAUAAUCGAUUUCCUCGCAUGGGGAGAUCGGGAAAGACGGAGCAAUCUGUCACCUGUGGAUGG
rnacentral:rRNA from 1 species